UGAAUACGAGAUGCUACGGCGUUGAAGCAGUGUAUGUCAGACUUCCAAGAAAAGCUCGCAAUGUCAUAAAUAAAGAAUGCCUGUACCAUAACCGACACAGGUGGGUAGGUAGAGUAUACUAAGGGGCGCGAGAUAACUCUCUCUAAGGAACUCGGCAAAAUAACUCCGUAACUUCGGGAGAAGGAGUGCCUUCUUUAAGAAGGUUGCAAUAACAAGAUCCAAGCAACUGUUUAUCAAAAACACAGGUCUCUGCGAAGUCGUAAGACGACGUAUAGGGUCUGACGCCUGCCCGGUGCCGGAAGGUUAAGGGGAGUUGUUAGGGGUAACCCGAAGCGGCGAACCGAAGCCCCGGUAAACGGCGGCCGUAACAAUAACGGUCCUAAGGUAGCGAAAUUCCUUGUCGGGUAAGUUCCGACCUGCACGAAUGGCGUAACGACAUCCCCGCUGUCUCGGCCAGAGACUCAGCGAAAUUGAAAUGGGGGUGAAGAUGCCCUCUACCCGCGGCAAGACGGAAAGACCCCGUGAACCUUUACUACAGCUUGGCAGUGAAUUUCGGGCCUAUUUGUGUAGGAUAGGUGGGAGGCGUUGAAUCCGGGACGCUAGUUUCGGUGGAGCCAACCUUGAAAUACCACCCUGAUAUGUCUGGGAUUCUAACCUAGGCCCGUGAACCGGGUCGGGGACACUGCCUGGUGGGUAGUUUGACUGGGGCGGUCGCCUCCUAAAAUGUAACGGAGGCUCGCAAUGGUUCCCUCAGGCUGAUUGGAAACCAGCCGUAGAGUGUAAAGGCACAAGGGAGCUUGACUGUGAGACUGACAAGUCGAACAGGUGGGAAACCAGGUCUUAGUGAUCCGGCGGUUCCGAAUGGAAGGGCCGUCGCUCAAAGGAUAAAAGGUACUCCGGGGAUAACAGGCUGAUCGCGCCUGAGAGUCACAUCGGCGGCGCGGUUUGGCACCUCGAUGUCGGCUCAUCGCAUUCUGGGGCUGAAGCCGGUCCCAAGGGUUUGGCUGUUCGCCAAUUAAAGCGGUACGCGAGCUGGGUUUAGAACGUCGUGAGACAGUUCGGUCCCUAUCUGCCGUGGGCGUAGGAUGCUUGAGAGGAUCUGCCCUUAGUACGAGAGGACCAGGGUGGACGGACCCCUAGUGUUCCGGUUGUCGCGCCAGCGGCACCGCCGGGUAGCUAUGUUCGGAACGGAUAACCGCUGAAAGCAUCUAAGCGGGAAGCCGGCCUCAAUAUUAUGCAUCCCUGAGCGUGAGCUCCUAAAGGCCCCUUGUAGACGACGAGGUUGAUAGACUGGGUGUGGAAGCAUAGCAAUAUGUGGAGCUAACCAGCACUAAUAGGCCGUGAGGCUUGACCG
rnacentral:rRNA from 1 species